UUGUGAACCUUUACACCCAGGUUUGGAGACAGAAAGGAGCACCGCCAAGUGAGGCAGAGCAGUCUCAGAAACAUAGGAAAAUCUUCUAGCAGAGAUGGAAUAAUAGAGACCAGAUGUACCCUCCCAGCUGAAACAACAAAAAAAUACAGAACAAAAUAUAUAAAAGAAUGGUUUUCAAGGUACUAGACAUCACACAGUGAAGGACAGUGAUCCCAGAGAGAUGAGAAACAAACAAGGGUGGGAAGAGAGAUCAGCAACGUUAACUGGGUGUCAAGAAAACAUACCGAGAUUGAAGCCAUCCACUUCUGCAGGAACACCGAAAAGAAAGCUUACAAUCUGAAGGUGUCCGUUCCUACACUGGUCAGACCACUGUCCUUGGGGCAGCUGGGGUCUUUGGGACCCUCCACCGGGC
rnacentral:lncRNA from 1 species